AACGCGAAGAACCUUACCAGGUCUUGACAUCUGAAUGCAAACUCUAGAGAUAGAGUCCUUCUUCGGAACAUUCAAGACAGGUGGUGCAUGGUUGUCGUCAGCUCGUGUCGUGAGAUGUUGGGUUAAGUCCCGCAACGAGCGCAACCCUUGAUCUUAGUUGCCAGCACUUCGGGUGGGCACUCUAGGAUGACUGCCGGUGACAAACCGGAGGAAGGUGGGGAUGACGUCAAAUCAUCAUGCCCCUUAUGACCUGGGCUACACACGUACUACAAUGGUCGAUACAACGGGAAGCGAAGCCGCGAGGUGGAGCCAAUCCUAUCAAAGUCGAUCUCAGUUCGGAUUGCAGGCUGCAACUCGCCUGCAUGAAGUCGGAAUUGCUAGUAAUCGCGGAUCAGCAUGCCGCGGUGAAUACGUUCCCGGGCCUUGUACACACCGGUACUA
rnacentral:rRNA from 1 species